rnacentral:rRNA from 1 species
AGGACGAACGCUGGCGGCGUGCUUAACACAUGCAAGUGGAGCGACGAACCAGGGCUUGCCCUGGGGCAGAGCCGCGAACGGGUGAGUAACACGUGGGUUACCUGCCUCGAUGACCGGGACAACCCGAGGAAACUCGGGCUAAUACCGGAUGUGCCCGCAAGGGGAAAGGAAGCUUCGGCCUCCGCAUCGAGAUGGGCCCGCGGCCCAUUAGCUUGUUGGUGAGGUAACGGCUCACCAAGGCUUCGAUGGGUAGCUGGUCUGAGAGGACGAUCAGCCACACUGGGACUGAGACACGGCCCAGACUCCUACGGGAGGCAGCAGUAGGGAAUCUUGCGCAAUGGGCGAAAGCCUGACGCAGCGACGCCGCGUGCGGGAUGAAGGCCUUCGGGUUGUAAACCGCUUUCAGCGAGGGACGAAAUUGACGGUACCUGCAGAAGAAGCCCCGGCCAACUACGUGCCAGCAGCCGC